UUUUUCAGUGAUUCUGCAGGGAGUUCCGACCUCUGAUCCAAAUAAAACAUGACCGAGAAACUGGUAAGGUUUUUCAUGUUCUUGAUGGCAUGCUGCUCAAGGAUGGAUUUUUGUAUAAGAAAGUAUCUCUAGAUUCGUUAAAUUUUUGGGAUGUUGUUCCUACUGAAGAGGAGCUAUUAAAGUUUGGGCCUUCCAAAAAUAGUGAAUCAAAUGAUAUGGAGUGGCUUUCUAAUAUUUAUGGUGACUCAAAGAAAAAACGGGUUAUUAUAGCUGAGAAGGGGGGCGAUGGUAAAGGAGAGGGCUCAUUAGCUUCGGGCGCAGGAAAUGAUUUUGAGUUAUAUGCUCUUGUGCGUUUUCGCAAAAAAGAAGAAAAUUGUGUAAUAAUAAGCACAGAUAAAGAUGGUACUUACAAGAUUCUAAAAGAGAGUUUAAACGGACCAGUUGCAGUAACUGUUCAACAAAACAAAAUAAAAAGUGUGAUGUGCGCACAAUUUUGGCAUCAUCUUGAGAAGUCUGGAAGCAGCUCUACCACAUAUUUUGCAAAAGCUGCUUCAGUUAUCCAGCAGGAGUUAUGUCCAACGUGGAAAAUCUGUUAAAGUCACUCCUCGGUUUCAUGCUUCUCAGUGUGUAGAUAGUUUAGUGAACAAUCACAAAAAGUACAUGAGCCAAACUGUGAUAUAGGGCUGCAUUGUAGGAUGAAUAUGAAAGACUGAUUUUUGAAAGGAACUCACAACAAACAGAGGGGGAUGAUGUGUCUAAUGACCAUCAGUUAGACAACUUCAUCUUCUUGGACGUAGUUGGGGGAGUCGACAAGAAAGGACGCAUUUAUGGUUUGGGCAUAUGAGGACUGCAAUAUCUAAAAUGUCAGCUGAAAACAUGGAACUCAAGGAGCGGUUGAAGACUAACGAGGAAUUGAUUCGUGCAUCACAGAGGGAGUCACGUUUAGCUCGAGAGCAGUCAC